rnacentral:rRNA from 1 species
UUCGCCCUUAGAGUUUGAUUCUGGCUCAGGAUGAACGCUGGCGGCGUGCUUAACACAUGCAAGUCGAACGGAACGCCAAGGAAAGAGUUUUCGGACAAUGGAAUUGGUUGUUUAGUGGCGGACGGGUGAGUAACGCGUGAGUAACCUGCCUUGGAGUGGGGAAUAACACAGUGAAAACUGUGCUAAUACCGCAUGACAUAUUAGUGUCGCAUGGCACUGAUAUCAAAGAUUUAUCGCUCUGAGAUGGACUCGCGUCUGAUUAGAUAGUUGGCGGGGUAACGGCCCACCAAGUCGACGAUCAGUAGCCGGACUGAGAGGUUGGCCGGCCACAUUGGGACUGAGACACGGCCCAGACUCCUACGGGAGGCAGCAGUGGGGAAUAUUGGGCAAUGGGCGCAAGCCUGACCCAGCAACGCCGCGUGAAGGAAGAAGGCUUUCGGGUUGUAAACUUCUUUUAACAGGGACGAAGUAAGUGACGGUACCUGACGAAUAAGCUCCGGCUAACUACGUGCCAGCAGCCGCGGUAAUACGUAGGGAGCGAGCGUUGUCCGGAUUUACUGGGUGUAAAGGGUGCGUAGGCGGCCGAGCAAGUCAGUUGUGAAAACUAUGGGCUUAACCCAUAACGUGCAAUUGAAACUGUCCGGCUUGAGUGAAGUAGAGGUAGGCGGAAUUCCCGGUGUAGCGGUGAAAUGCGUAGAGAUCGGGAGGAACACCAGUGGCGAAGGCGGCCUACUGGGCUUUAACUGACGCUGAGGCACGAAAGCAUGGGUAGCAAACAGGAUUAGAUACCCUGGUAGUCCAUGCCGUAAACGAUGAUUACUAGGUGUGGGGGGACUGACCCCUUCCGUGCCGCAGUUAACACAAUAAGUAAUCCACCUGGGGAGUACGACCGCAAGGUUGAAACUCAAAGGAAUUGACGGGGGCCCGCACAAGCAGCGGAGCAUGUGGUUUAAUUCGACGCAACGCGAAGAACCUUACCAGGGCUUGACAUCCCUUGACCGCCAUGGAAACAUGGUUUUUGGAGCUUCGGUUCCAACAAGGAGACAGGUGGUGCAUGGUUGUCGUCAGCUCGUGUCGUGAGAUGUUGGGUUAAGUCCCGCAACGAGCGCAACCCCUAAUUUCAGUUGCCAGCACGUAAAGGUGGGAACUCUGAAGUAACUGCCGGUGACAAACCGGAGGAAGGUGGGGAUGACGUCAAAUCAUCAUGCCCUUUAUGUCCUGGGCUACACACGUGCUACAAUGGCUGGUACAGAGGGCAGCGAAACCGCGAGGUGGAGCGAAUCCCAAAAAGCCAGUCUCAGUUCGGAUUGCAGGCUGCAACCCGCCUGCAUGAAGUCGGAAUCGCUAGUAAUCGCGAGUCAGCAUAUCGCGGUGAAUACGUUCCCGGGUCUUGCACUCACCGCCCGUCA